GCAAACUUGGUCAUUUAGAGGAAGUAAAAGUCGUAACAAGGUCUCCGUAGGUGAACCUGCGGAGGGAUCAUUAGCGGGUCCCCGCCUGGAGGCGGACCUCCCACCCCCAUAAUUGCUACGCUAGUUGCCCCGGCGGGUUCCGACCUGCCGGGGGCCCAUACCCUGAUAAUAGAAGACCGUCAGAGAUACUAGAAAAGCACCAAAACUUUCAACAACGGAUCUCUUGGUUCUGGCAUCGAUGAAGAACGCAGC
rnacentral:misc_RNA from 1 species